rnacentral:rRNA from 1 species
AAUGAACGUUGGCGGUAGGCCUAACACAUGCAAGUCGAACGGCAGCACAGGAGAGCUUGCUCUCUGGGUGGCGAGUGGCGGACGGGUGAGGAAUACAUCGGAAUCUACUCUGUCGUGGGGGAUAACGUAGGGAAACUUACGCUAAUACCGCAUACGACCUACGGGUGAAAGCAGGGGAUCUUCGGACCUUGCGCGAUUGAAUGAGCCGAUGUCGGAUUAGCUAGUUGGCGGGGUAAAGGCCCACCAAGGGGACGAUCCGUAGCUGGUCUGAAGGGAUGAUCAGCCGCACGGGAACUGAGGAACGGUCCAGACUCCUACGGGAGGCAGCAGUGUGGAAUAUUGGACAAUGGGCGCAAGCCUGAUCCAGCCAUACCGCGUGGGUGAAGAAGGCCUUCGGGUUGUAAAGCCCUUUUGUUGGGAAAGAAAUCCAGCUGGCUAAUAUCCGGUUGGGAUGACGGUACCCAAAGAAUAAACACCGGCUAACUUCGUGCCAGCCGCCGCCGUAA